CAGUAAACAAUAACAAGCCCCUUCAAUGUCUUGAAAUACAUGCAGGUGGCCAAAGUGCGGUGCGAGAAAU
rnacentral:snoRNA from 1 species